rnacentral:rRNA from 1 species
UACGUAGGGGGCAAGCGUUAUCCGGAUUUAUUGGGUUUAAAGGGUGCGCAGGCGGAUUUUUAAGUCAGCGGUCAAAUCGUGGGGCUCAACCCCAUCCAGCCGUUGAAACUGGGGAUCUAGAGUGUGCGAGAGGUAUGCGGAAUGCGUGGUGUAGCGGUGAAAUGCAUAGAUAUCACGCAGAACCCCGGUUGCGAAGGCAGCAUACCGGUGCACAACUGACGCUCAGGCACGAAAGCGUGGGUAUCGAACAGG